UAACGAGUUAACAUAUUGAGACUUCAAUUCACGAUAAUAAAAGACUCUAAUGCAUCAAGAAUCAAACAUAAAUGCCUGUUGCAGCAGGACAGAUAGUGGUAAAUUUCCCUAUUCAGAAUGAGACAAUUUCCAGCAAAAGUUGGCUGAUUAAGUACUUAGCUUGUGAUCCAUGUCACAGAACAGAGAGCAACUAUAAUAAUUUGAAGAGAGCCCAGCAUUUGUUAAACUAAAAAUAAGCUGGCAUUUUAGCCCCACCAUGGCUGUAUCACAUUAAUCUAUUUAAAAGGCUAAAAGGAUAGACAAUGUAUUAAAUUUUCAAUGCUUUUAUAUCUUGCACGAUGACAGACAACAUCAAACCUUUUUUCAUUAUAUCCUGAAGUGGGAUGGCCUUACAGGAACUUCUGUUCACAGGCACUAGAUGGACUAAACCACAUUGUGCUGGAGUGACAUAUCUACUUAGCUGAGGUAACAUAUCCUCCUUGCAGUUUGCCCCCGAACUUAUUUCUUGUGAUCCCUCAACCUUCACUUUCUUUACUUUAUCAGCUAUAUCCUCUUUUCCUUUCUCUUGGAGCUGUGACAAUUUUACCGAAACAGCAGGUUUCGCCUUAUUGUUCCUCUUAUCGGAGCCUUUUUUAACCUAUCACCAAUAUGAACAUAUUUGACCACAAGCAAUUCAUAUAACACAAUUAUUUUUAUUUCCAAAUGGCGAACAUUGUGUGUCAACAAAAAAAGAAAACCUGAAUUUUGCUUCCGUUGAUGCAAUUCAUGUGAGAGUUCUCAUGAAGUACAUUCGUCAUGUCUUUAAGAACAGCCCUUCUCUUAGGCUGAACACCAGUAGCAGUACUAGAGGUACCAGGUCUGUUCUCAUCUGAGGCAGAUCUUUUCGACUUUUGGACUCUGCUCCCAAUACAUGCUUCUUAUCCCUUUUUUUGUGGAUGGGUGGUAGGGGGUGGUAAUUNNNNNNNNNNNNNNNNNNNNNNNNNUAUCCUGAAGUGGGAUGGCCUUACAGGAACUUCUGUUCACAGGCACUAGAUGGACUAAACCACAUUGUGCUGGAGUGACAUAUCUACUUAGCUGAGGUAACAUAUCCUCCUUGCAGUUUGCCCCCGAACUUAUUUCUUGUGAUCCCUCAACCUUCACUUUCUUUACUUUAUCAGCUAUAUCCUCUUUUCCUUUCUCUUGGAGCUGUGACAAUUUUAC
rnacentral:lncRNA from 1 species